rnacentral:rRNA from 1 species
UACGGAGGGUGCAAGCGUUGCUCGGAAUUAUUGGGCGUAAAGGGUAGGUAGGUGGUCUUAUUUGUCUGGGGUGAAAGCCUUGAGCUUAACUCAAGAAGUGCCUCAGAAACGGUAAGACUGGAGUCCUGGAGAGGGUCGUGGAAUUCCCGGUGUAGCGGUGAAAUGCGCAGAUAUCAGGAGGAACACCAAUGGCGAAGGCAGCACUCUGGGACGUGACUGACGCUGAGACGCGAAAGCGUGGGGAGCAAACAGG